UCUAUCUAUCUAAUCAUCUAUCUGUCUAUAUCUAUCUAUGGAGAUAGGUAAAUAGAUAGAUGAUAGAUAGAUAGA